GACAGGCUAAUUAAUGCGUGGUUUUGCAAGGAGAUUGAAGAGAUGCUGGAUGUGACUCUCAAGCCAGUAGGAAGUCUCAGGCUCAGGAGAGAAACGACACCCAGCUACCUGAUAGAAAGAAAGAGAGCUCAGCUGCAGGGACGUGGGACAUGUCAGUACACUCAGGGUUGGAAAACGGUCACUAGCUUAUUUCAUGGAGCCAAACGUCUGUGGCUAUUGGAUGGCUCAGUGUGGAUCCAUAAAUUCUGCACUGUGUAGGCUGCAGAUAUGGGAUGCUUCUAGAGGCUUUCUGUGCCACUGGCAGCCCUUUGGGUUGUGAUAAUCCCCAACAAAUGUUUAGAUGCAGGUUCCCUAAUUUUUAAUAUAUAUAUAUAUUUAAUAUAACCCCUAAAAACUCCUUUUCUAUUGACCUGCCUGACAUUCUAUCUCCAGUUCUGUUUUUUUUCCCCCUCCUUAUCCAUACCACUGUCUUCCAAAUUCAUGACUUACUCUUACUGCUUCCCUAUCUACCAGCCCAGACAGCCAACCUGGGCUGCAUCUAAAGCAGCAUGGCCAGCAGGGCGAGGGAGUUGAUCCUGCCCCUCUGCUCUGUGCUUUGAGAACUCACCUGGAGCACUGCGUCCAGAUGUGGAGUCCUCAGUACAGGAGAGACAUGGAGCUGUUGGAGUGCAUCCAGUGGAGGGCCACAAGAGUGAUCCAAGGGAUGGAACACCUCCGCUACAAAGAUGAGCUGAGAGAGCUGGGGAUGUUCAGCCUGGAGAAGAGACUUGAUAGAUGCCUUUCAGUAUCUAAAGGGGGUCUAUAAGAAAGAAAGGGACUGACUCUUUAGCAGGGUCUGUGGUGACAGGACAAGGGAAAAUGAUUUCAAACUAUAGGAGGGGAGAUUUGGAGUUCUUUAUAAUAAGGGUGGUGAGGCACUGGCACAGAUUGCCCAUAGGGGUGGUGGGUGCCCCAUCGCAAGAGACGUUCAAAGUCAGGCUGGACAGGGCUCUGAGCAUCUGACUGAGUUACAGAUGUCCCUGUUCACUGCAGAGGACUUGGGCUAGGUGAUCUUUAAUGGUCCCUUCCAACUCAAAUGAUUCUAUGGUCUGUUAUCUUCUUCCCCUCCCCACUGAGCAUCACUACCCUCCCAAAUCCCAGCAUUUUCCCUAUGAAGCCUCCCCUCCUCUUCUGAUCUGGAAAUCCAUGCUCCAACACCUUCACAGUUGAAACACAAUUCAUGCAUCAUAUGCUACCACGUGGUGGUGGUUCCAGCAUGGAUAUUUAUGGAUAUUUAUGCAUGCUCAACCACCUUAGUGGCCACUGUCCCUCAUUCUGAAUGCUGGAAGACAACCUGCUUCAUUUCUGAGAAGAAGGCUUUUUCUCUCCCCAGCUUAACAAGUACAUUCCCUUGCAGACAGAGCAAUGUCCUCAGGGACUGUGGUUUUUUAGAAGUGUGUCUAAACUGUCCAAGUGAACAUGUGGGAAAGACCAUAGCCCUCUAGCACUCAUCUGCUUGCCUCUUGCACUCAGUAUAUUUGGUUUGGAUAGGGGCCCUUGCACCAGAAAGCCUGAACCUGUUUCUGAAGAGCUGCUGGAACAUAUGCUGGGUAAUAUACAGCAGGAGGAUGAAUCUCAUAGGACAAGGAAAGCUUUUCCAGACUGGUGCUGAGGUGCUGCUACUGACACUGCUGAUGUCUAAACCUGGACCCUAAUGAUAUGGAUAGGGUAGUUUUAUUUAUUUAUCCAUUUACAUUGAUCUUUCAUAAAGACUGUUAAAAAAGCACAGGAGAUUGAAGAACACAGAAAAAAAAAAAAAAGGCAAUGUCCUGUGUAGGUGUAAAGCAAACCUUCUGCACUCUAUCCAGAUGACUCAGUCUUGCCCCACAAACUCCUUCCUCAGCCUAACCUCUGUGGGACUGUAGGAAUGCAGAACAGCCUACCUGCUUCUAACAAUCUCCUGGGUGCUUACAGUCUAAAAAUACCACACAGAAAUAAUGAUCCUUGGUACGGAGGAGGUAAAUCUGCAUCUCCGUGACUGUCUGGAGAGCACUCGAUGAUGGCUCACGUCACGAUUCCUUGUUACUGCAUCCCUAGCCAUCCCGCCAGCACUGCACGACCUCAGCACGGCGUCUUGGUCCAAGCUUAAAGCUUUGAACUCUUCAGCUCAGCCUUGCAGGCUCGUUGGCAGCCACAUGUUGUGGGAAUGAUGUAUUCUCUUGGCACUGGCCUUCGUGUUCCAUUGCUGGGGCAGCCAAAUAUGAAGACAGAUUUCGCAAGGUAGAAUGGAGGUACCAAGACUUGCUGUGUUGUCCCAACUCUGGUGAAUGAUAACCACAAAUUCUCGCUUAGGUUUUCUUGUGGUGAAGGUGAAAUUCAAAGAAUGGUGACCCGGGAAAUGAGACACACAAAGCUUGUUCUCGGAGAGGUUGUUAGGCACACCAUGAGAAGUAUUUGCUAUUAGUGGGCAUUAUGUACACGUUGAGCCCUCCUCUUUGUCAUACAAAGUAGCCCUGAAGGCACCUCACCCAAAGAUCAUUGUGUCAUUCCCACUCAUAGGUGUUUUGGAAAGGCUCUUAGCUACCAGGAGCUCUUGCAGCUUUCACAUCCCAGAGAUGUGAGCAACCCAGCCACGCAGAUGGCCCCAGGAUCAGUAUUGCUUUCACCCAGUGGGACCCGUGGGCUUCCCAAAAGUGAAAAGAUGGACAGAGCAGCUUGGGAAGUCUCAUGGCAGUUGACUGUCUACAAAAUCGAAGUGCAGAAGCUGCAGUACUUUUAUUUCACUGCAGGAAAUCCAAGACUCUAGGAAGACUUGUGGCAGUGGUGGGUUGAUGGUUGGACUAGAUGACCUUAGUGGUCGUUUCCAACUGUAAUGGUUCCACUGUUCUGUGAUUCUAAGACUGGCCCAAGCCAAGCCCUGGGAACUCCAGAUACACAACAGGGAAUUUUCAACCCUCCUUUUGUGCAUCUGCAAACCUAAGACUCGUGUCAUCAUCCUUCAGUAGACCAUCAGCUCUUCCAGAGUCUCAUUUACUCAGUUUCUGAAGCCUGGAGGAACUAGAAACCUUGACAUGCAGCAGAGAGCUAAAUUUAUCUGUGGCACCCUUGGCCACACAGAAGUCAUGCUGUGAAUCAGCUCUGGAGCUGGAAAUAAAGCUUCUUGUCUUCAGGCAGCCCAUAUGGCCACAUAACCUCAAAGCAAAAUUUCUUCAUUACCCAGACACUGAUAAUGCUGAGCAGCCCAUAUGGCAGGGCUGCCCAGGAGCAGUAGAGCUGGAAACCGUACAUCUCAAGCAAUAUUGGCAAGAAAACAAGAAAACAAAAUCAUCAAAGCAGGGAGAAGUGAACAGAAGAAAGAAACUUGUACAGAAAGAGGCAGACAAAGCACAUGUUGCACUGAGAAGUUGUACCACUGCACACACCAUUCCAGCUGUUCCCUGUGCUGAGGCACAUGGUGCAUAUGAUAAUCAUCACUGCUUCUUUUCUCUCCCUCCCCCAAUUAUAAACUGGGAACACUUGAAAAAAAGAAAUCAGUAUAUUGGAUCAAGCUUAGGGCUUGCCUGAUGCUGCGAGGCUGAAAUGAGGAGGAAUAACUGCUACAAAAGAAGGAGGACAGUCGUGCUGUGCAACUUGUAGAGCAGUGUGAACAAGGAUCACAAAGUCCUUCCUAUGUUGGAGGGUCGUAAUGAACCGUCAUGAGCUGUCAGCACCGUGGAAAAAACGUACCUCAAAUUCACAGCCUCACCUCACCACCUCCUUUCUGCUGCCCCAGAACAAGCAAUAAUGGGUGUUGCACCAGAUCUUAUGGUUGUGCUCGUAGUAAACCAGCCUACAGGAAACCGUAGAAAACAGCUUGGAAAUUGAAUGUAAAUGGACGUGAAGGCAACUAGAAAGCAAGCGUUCUAAUGCUGAUGGUGUUUCCCUUGUUGAUAAAUGGAAAGCAAACACUGCAAAAGGACAUGGGGAAUAUUCCACUUGAAUCAUCUAUUAAUUUGUCUGUGCUGCAGUCAAUAGUCUAAGAAGUAUCUACUUUAAAGAGAAUCUCGUCGUGAGGUUGGCCCUUUGAAAAGUUUCAGAACUCUGCUAAAUUAAAGUCUCAAACUGCUGAUGAAAAAGCACUCCAGGUGCAAAGGGGAGCUGGCAAAAAAAAGAAUGACUAUAGCGCAGAAGUAAUUAAACAACUUGGAGCAAAUGCAUUUGGCAUGGGUGGAAAUUGGGAUCUUAACGUCAAAUAAUAGGCGUAUGUCUCUUCUGUUGUCAUGCAAUUAAAGAAUGAAACCUG
ensembl:lncRNA